rnacentral:rRNA from 1 species
UACGGGGGGGCAGCAGUGUUCGGUGAUUUACUGGGCGUAAAGGGCGCGUAGGCGGCCACCGCAAGUCAAUUGUGAAAUCUCCGGGCUUAACUCGGAAAGGUCAACUGAUACUGCGGGGCUAGAGUGCGGAAGGGGCAACUGGAAUUCCUGGUGUAGCGGUGGAAUGCGCAGAUAUCAGGAGGAACACCUAUAGCGAAGGCAGCUUGCUGGGACGUUACUGACGCUAAGGCGCGAAAGCGUGGGGAGCGAACAGG